rnacentral:piRNA from 1 species
UAGAAAUGAGAGUAAAGAUAUCUAUAUUUA